AAUGGGGUAAGUGGGUUCCCAAUUGGAGACGUGCAGACAUAACUUGGUGGUGACUUUACAACCACCUGAUACUAAUCUAAAAUAGGAACAAUACUUAAGCAUUUAGCCCCUGUGACAUUAUACCAGGUGUUUCCAGCUGGC